rnacentral:rRNA from 1 species
CGUGGCGGGCGUGCUUAUACUGCAAGUCGAACGAAGAGCUUUUGUAGCAAUACGAAAGCUUCUUAGUGGCGAACGGGUGCGUAACGCGUUGGUGACCUGCCCCAAAGUGUGGGAUAACAGUUCGAAAGGACUGCUAAUACCGCAUGUGAUCAUCAGUUUUAGAAUCUGAUGAUUAAAGCAGUAAUGCGCUUUGGGAGGGACCUGCGUCCCAUCAGCUAGUUGGUGAGGUAAUGGCCCACCAAGGCUACGACGGGUAGGGGACCUGAGAGGGUGGUCCCCCACACUGGCACUGAAACACGGGCCAGACACCUACGGGUGGCAGCAGUAGGGAAUAUUGGGCAAUGGGCGAAAGCCUGACCCAGCAACGCCGCGUGCACGAUGAAGGUCUUCGGAUCGUAAAGUGCUUUUCUGAGAGAUGAGAAAGGACAGUAUCUCAGGAAUAAGUCUCGGCUAACUACGUGCCAGCAGCCGCGGUAACACGUAGGAGGCAAGCGUUAUCCGGAUUUACUGGGCGUAAAGCGCGUGCAGGUGGUUCGGUAAGUUGGAUGUGAAAGCUCCUGGCUCAACUGGGAGAGGUCGUUCAAUACUACCGGACUUGAGAGCAGUAGAGGGAGGUGGAAUUCCCGGUGUAGUGGUGAAAUGCGUAGAUAUCGGGAGGAACACCAGUGGCGAAAGCGGCCUCCUGGACUGUUUCUGACACUCAGACGCGAAAGCUAGGGUAGCAAACGGGAUUAGAGACCCCGGUAGUCCUAGCUGUAAACGAUGUGAACUUGGCGUCGGCGGGUUC